AUGGGCUUCUGUUUGCUACUAGUUUUAAUGGCAUUCAUUGGUGGCAGUAUACAAGACAGCAUUACCCCAACAUCUCCUGCAAUCCAUGCAAUGGUCAAUGAAAAAGUUACGAUCUCUUGUAAAUACCAGUACACUCUGUCAAUGAAUAAUCUUCAGUGGUAUCGACGUUAUCUCAACUCUGCGCCAGAAUUCCUGGUUCUAAUUAUGGAGUCGGGACAAAAUCAAACGGCUACACCUCCUCACCCUCGGCUGACAGCUUCAGUCAAUAAAGAAAACAAGACUGUGAAUCUGGAAAUCUUUCCUGCAGAUGUGAAGGAUUCUGCAGCGUAUCACUGCGCACUGCAGCCCACAGUGGGAGGAAAUGCAUGUACACCAUACAAAAACCUUCUCAGAGCUAAACGGAGAAGAAAAUGAUUUAAAUCAACCUAUGAGACCAAAGAGUCUGCACACAUGCCACAAGGAGGCAGCACUUUUUUACCCCACUCAACAACAUCAGAAGCAUGCACAUAUGUUGACAUGUGACAAUUAGUACUAGACUGCUCAGAAAAAUAGCAACACCUUAUGUUAAAGGAUUGUGAACAGAGGCAUAGCUGAUCAGUAAAUUCAGGAUGAGGAGAUCAGUGUUAUUAAUUCUCAUAGCUGCAUCAGGUAGGCUAUUUUUGUAAAUUUAUAUGAAUUUUUAAUAUGAAUGUAUAAUUUAUAUAUAUAUAUAUAAAAACAGAUUUUUUUAUAUAUGUUUUAUUAUUUAAGUCUUCACAUACCACUUUUUACUUCCUUUCCAGUUGCUCUUGGUGAUCGCAUUCAACCAGAUCAAGCUGUUAUUAUUAGAGAUGAAACUGACCGGGUGACACUGAGUUGCUCAUAUGAAACAAGCAGUGAAUAUGUUGAUCUUUAUUGGUACAGACAGUACCCUAACAGUGAGCCACAGUACAUACUGUGGAAAAGUGCACGACAAAAUAGUGGGAGUAAUAUACCAGAUCCUCAUUUUGAAUCUUCUACAAGCAGAACAUCCACUGAACUGAUUAUUAAAGCAGCUACUCUGAAAGAUUCAGCUCUCUAUUACUGUGCUCUUUGGAAAGACCCAGUGAUACAAAGUUUCUGAGAAGCUUUACAAAAACACACAUACUUUGAACUCAAAAUCAUCAAAGUAUUAGCCAAACCAAAAUGUAUUAUCUGCCAAAACCAUUACUGUAUGUGGGAACACCUGCAACUGAUACAGUAGCCAAAGCCAAGAGAUUCAUAGAUUUA
rnacentral:lncRNA from 12 species